rnacentral:rRNA from 1 species
AUUGAACGCUGGCGGCAUGCUUUACACAUGCAAGUCGAACGGCAGCACGGGCUUCGGCCUGGUGGCGAGUGGCGAACGGGUGAGUAAUAUAUCGGAACGUACCCAGAAGUGGGGGAUAACGAAGCGAAAGUUACGCUAAUACCGCAUACGAUCUAUGGAUGAAAGCAGGGGACCGCAAGGCCUUGUGCUCCUGUAGCGUCCGAUAUCUGAUUAGCUAGUUGGUGAGGUAAAGGCUCACCAAGGCGAAGAUCAGUAGCUGGUCUGAGAGGACGACCAGCCACACUGGAACUGAGACACGGUCCAGACUCCUACGGGAGGCAGCAGUGGGGAAUUUUGGACAAUGGGCGCAAGCCUGAUCCAGCAAUGCCGCGUGAGUGAAGAAGGCCUUCGGGUUGUAAAGCUAUUUUGUCAGGGAAGAAACGGUAGAGGCCAAUAUCCUUUGCUAAUGACGGUACCUGAAGAAUAAGCACCGGCUAACUACGUG